rnacentral:lncRNA from 1 species
GGUCGAGGUAAUUGUGUUCUUUAUACUUGUAAGAUAUUUGUUAAGUUUCGAAAAUAAUUAUAUUUAUCUUUUAUUUUCAUGUUGUAUACUUAGAUGUCAACUAAAAAAGCUUGUAAGAGUUCUAAACAUUGAAGUACUGCAAUUGUCGUAGCAAUUCAAGAGACCAAUAAAAGACUAAGAGUUUCUAGUGAAGCAGAAAAUACUAUAUCUACUCCAAUUAUCUAUGAGCAAAACCCAUCGCCGUCAAAUGCAAGUGCUCCGAAGAAGAAAAGAUGCCCAACUCAAGUGAAAAUGGUUCCUGAACAUAAUUUUAAAAAAAUGGAGCUUGAAUUCAAUGAAUUUGGGCAAGUAGUUGGCAGUAACUCCGAUAAAUUUGCUAGCGUUGUUGGAGCUAUGGUACGAGAACAUGUACUUAUUACAAUUAAAGACUGACAUUCAGCAGAUGAAAAGAAAAAAAUGGAACUUUGGACUUUCAUACAGUACGUUUCUUAACUAACUUUUUACGACUAUUUAUUGUAUCAUUUUCCUUCUUAUUGACGCCAUUCUUUUAAGUUUUAAAAUAUAUUUGUGAACAAAUGCAGCAAAUGUUCGAUGUCAAUGAUUGUCAUAAAAAAAAUGACAUUUCAUUGUAUGGGAAAGUAUUGGAAGACAUUCAAAGUAAGAUUGAGAAAACAAAUCAGAACUGAAAUAGAAACAUCUGUUAAUAGAACACGAUCCAUUGCCCACCUUAGACCAAAGAAUGUAAGUCAUGAAGAAGCAUGGGAAAAAUUUCUCAAAGAUACUCUUUCUGCUGACUUCAAAGUAAGAAAUAUUUGCUUAAUAAUGUUAUAUUUUUAUUUAGUUGUUGUUUCUAUUUUUACUAUUUUGUUUUCUUAAUAGGAAAAAAGUUCCACGUUCAGGAAAAAGAGAACGGAUCAAAAGCUUCCUCACACAUUAGGUCGAAAUGGUUAUUCACUUACAACUCUUGAAAUAGUACAAUUACACACCUAUCUUGUCUGGUUAGGAAUGAAGUUUCAUUUCUUCUAAGUUAUAGGUAUUACACACCAUUGUUGAUUUCCUUCAAGUAGUCAUUACGUAAGUACUAAAUUUAUAUUGUAGAGAAAAAAGAAUCCGGAUUUAAAGGGGUUAAGAACUAUAGUAUAGAUGCAUGGCCAUCUUAGAAAGGAUGGUACACCAAUAAAUAAAGCAGUUGCCGCAACUUUGGUACAUGUAUUCUUUCAAUAUAUAUGAUUUAUUAUACAUAUUCAAAGCUAGUAUCUAAUCUGAGUUCCGUAAGUGCAAAAAAGGAUAGAAUAUUGUGUCCAAUCAAUUUCUGAUAGACGAGCAGAAAAUUCCAUCCGCGAUGAUGCUAUUGCUCGAGUUUUUAGUCCUGAACAUCGUGGAAGAGCUAGAGGAUUUGGGUUUGGAGUUGCACCAUCGAAAGUGGAUGGACAAAUUCAAAGUAAUGGGAGAGUGAGAGAACUUGAAGGAAAGGUUGGAGCGCUAGAAGAAAAGGUUGAAGCACUUCUUCAAUUAUCUCAGCAAGUUAUAAACUUUUAUCAUUAUACAUAUACAAUGAUAAUAUAACUUCGUGUAACUCAAUAUGGAGAAUAAAUUUUUAAUUUUUGUAUAAUUUACAGAAUCAAAACAAGAAUGUAGACGACAUGAGUUCACGUGCUUUUACUCAGAUUUUUGUAUCUAAGAAAUUAUUUUGUAUUCACCAUAAACAUAGAAUAUAGCAUACUAAUUUACUUUAAUUUGAUUUUGUAGUCACAACAAGGAAGUGGUAUCCACGGAGGGAUUGCACAUACGAAAAAUGAAAGGUGUCAACUGUUGCAUUGGUACACAUUAGAAGAGGAAGAAAUUGUAGCUAAAGGAAGGAUUGCAUCGAUAGACCCAAGUGCAAAGGUCCAUCACGUACCAAUCGGACGAGAUUGUUGGAAGGUGUGGGUUGAGGAAGUGUAUAUGGGCCAUUUGAACUUAUAUAGACUUAUUGAUGAAUUUCGAGUGCUUAGUGAAGCCAUAGGAAGUACAAUUGCUUGGCCAAAGAGCAGUAUUGGACUUAUUUGACAAGGUAUGUAAUGCAUUUAUGCACUUUUGUAUUUCUGUGUGUAAUAUCUGUGCAUACUAGGAAAAAAUGGUUUGAUAG